rnacentral:lncRNA from 10 species
CGCCCAUCUGUUCCGACCCCAGAUUAGAGAAGGAGUUGUCACCGGUGGCAUGCUGGAGGCUUGAGCCUGCAGCAGCAUGGCUCGCCUCACUGUGGCUGGUGGCAGUGAGGUAGAGUACAGCACAGCCAAAGUGGUAGAAAGGUGGCAGAGUAGGUGAGCUAUCCAGGGACUUGUGGCGGGGGGAGAGGGGCAGUGAGCUCAGGGGCCAAGGAUUGGAUGCACUAUCGUGAACUACACUGCCCAAGGCUUUUCUGGCUUUGCCCAUCCAGUUGCUCCGUGCCAGGAGAAGGAGUAGCCACCUGCACAUGCUGGAGGCUGGAGCCAGGGACACCACGGCUUGCCUCGCUGUGGUUGGCGUGGUGGCAGCGAUGGAGACUGCAGAGUGCCAGAGAGCUCUGUGAAGUCUGCAUUAUGCUUGGAGGAACCUGAGGUUCAGAGAGUUUUAGGGACUCAGCCAAGGUGAGGAACUUGGUGGUCAUGGUGUAGGGGUUGACAGUCCCUCCUCCCUGCUGCAGAAUGUCCCAAAGCAGCCUUCUAACAGUGAUACAACAUCUCUCCUUCAAUUCUGAAGACCCUG